UGCCGUCUUCGCGGCAAAUUUUAAAUCUGACAUUUUACAACGCCAAUCGAUCUCCACGUUCGGAUCCAUCAAAUGACAGCGAAGCUACAUCGCAUGCACACACACAUCGAUUACGAACGGGAGCCGAGCAACACGCAACCGAAUCUAGAACAUUUAAACUUAACCGAAAUCGACGACCGCGGGUGAAGUUAAAUUAUAAUACAUCAACAAGGCCUAGUGAUUCUAGAACAGUGCACGCGUCCAGGAGCUCCGUGUGGCAGUCCCAGCGAAGCUACAUCGCAUGCACACACACAUCGAUUACGAACGGGAGCCGAGCAACACGCAACCGAAUCUAGAACAUUUAAACUUAACCGAAAUCGACGACCGCGGGUGAAGUUAAAUUAUAAUACAUCAACAAGGCCUAGUGAUUCUAGAACAGUGCACGCGUCCAGGAGCUCCGUGUGGCAGUCCCAGGUGCGUAUGUGCAUUUACACUAUUUGUUGAAUCCUAGACGUACAUCGGGGACCUAGGAUACCUUGCUGGGCAAGUUC